UGAAUCCAGUGAUUAUGUUAACAGUUAACUAGAGAUAGUUUAAUGUGUUAAGUUUCUGUAAGGGGGAGGAGCCCCGUUCGAACACGUUUGAGCAGUGAGCGCGCGAUCUUUGAAGAUUCUGGUUGAUGAUGCACGCGAUGGAUUUGGAAAGCAGCAUGUAAUGGUGUUCAUGGAGAUCUAAUUAACGUUACAGGAUUAUGGGCAAGAAUCUCAAGCAUGAAAUCAUUGACCAGAGAAAGUUGGGCAGCUGUUGACAGCUUUCACAACAAAUCAAGUGAUUCAUUUUACUCCCCAACAGACUAAAGAGCCGACUGAUACUAGGUCUCUGAUGCUCAGAGGACUCCCUAUCAUUCAUUUGGCGACAAACCUACAGAUUUCUACAAAGUAUGCUUUGACUCUGAUGACAUUGGAAUCCUCCUCAUUGAGCAUGAAGGUGACAUGCUCUCAUCUUCUCUCCAUCUCAAUCCAACCUCAUUGAAGAUCAUCAUUGAAGGAGAAGUUGUGAUGGA